GUGUUCCGUAUGCUGACCUAUCCAUUCAGGCACCUCAAACUACAGACUGACUAACAUAAAGCAAGACUUGUUUCAUCUCCUCCCAGAAAGGGAAAAUGAGGUCACAGAGUCCUGAAAGCCUGGUUCCCACCGUGCACUUGGCACAGCCAGACUAGCAGAGAACCUCUCGGAGGCUCCUCCACUCAGCUGCGGUGACGCAGCAUUCUUCCUAAUGCCUCUGCAGUCUGUGCAUCCCUCAGCUUCGAAAGGAUAAACUUGCAAUGGCUAACCCAGCCUUCACAUAGAUGAAAAGGACAGAAAAUGAUUCUUUUAAGGAAAAAAAAUACAAGAUUUAAGGCUACCUCUACCAGUGACUGAUAACCUCCUGAAAAAAUGAUUUCAACAGCCACAUUCUAAGGUACCCAAAAAGCCCUAACAUAAACUUGAGCACAUGACUGAGGAUAGGCUAUACUCUACGUUUGUAAGAGAUGUCAAGACACACUAUGUUAGGAUGCUGCUUACCUGACGACUUCAUACCUUCAAAGACUAAAAAUACAACAUGCAGACUAUACCUAUGGCAACCAUCUUAUCUAAACAUCUGACAAAGAUGCCAAUGCUUUACCGAAGUCCAAUGAUAAAAACUGAUUGCACACAAGGUCAUCCACUCACUCAACAGACUGUGUGCCAAGCACUAUCCUGGGCAUUGAAGUAUAGGAGGGAGUAAGACCAAGUUCCUGUAUAUACAAAAAAUUAGCUGGGCGUGGUUGUGCAUAUCUGUAAUUCCAGCUACUCAGGAGGCUGAGGCAGAAGAAUUGCUUGAACCCAGGAGUCAGAGAUAAGCCAAGAUCGCACCACUGCACUCCAGCCCAGGUGAAAGAGCAAGACUCUGGGAGGACACGGCUGCAGUGAGCUACCAUUAGGCCAUCAAAUUUCAGCCUGGGUGACAGGGCAAGAUUUUGCUUCUUAAAAGAAAAAAAUGCCAGGCGUGGUGGUUCAAGCCUGUAAUCCCAGCACUUCGGGAGGCCGAGGAGGGUGGACGACCUCAGGUCAGGAGUUCAAGACCAGCCUGGCCAACAUCGCAAAACCCCAUGUCUACUAAAAAUACAAAAAAAAAAAAAAAAAACUAGCCAGGCAUGGUGGCAGGUGCCUGUAAGCCCAGCUAUUCAGGAAGCUGAAGCAGGAGAAUUGCUUGAGCCCUGGAGGCAGAAGUUGCAGUGAGCCGAGAUAGUGCCCAGCAUUCCAGCCUGGGUGACAGAACAAGACUUCAUUUCAAAGAAAAAAAGCUCCAAAAAACCCAACCCAAGACUCCCACACCGCAAAACUAAAACCCUUUAGUGUUCUAAAGACAUUAUGUGGGGACUUCUCUACAGAUUUUCAAAGACUAUUUCAUAAUAUAGGAUUAUCUAUAAAUCAAACGUAAUUGACUUAUCAGAAGUAGCAGCCUGUGUAUUUAUUAUUCUGUACAGUAUAGCCCAAUUAAGUAUUCCCUGAGGUAAAAAAAAAAAAAAUCUGAGGUAUUCUCUAUACAAAGUAGUUGGGGAUGGGGUAGGGAAUGAAGGACACUACUAUACCAAGUUUAUUAUGAAAUACAGGAUCAUAGUUAAAAAAAAAGUCAAAAGUUCCAAAGAGCCUAGGAAAAAGGUACAAGAAAGGACUCUCAUCUUUGUACAGAUCCACCUAACACACAAGUAAAACUUCACCUGGAAAUAAUGUGAAUGCCUGAUCAUCUAUCUAGUCAUGUGGGAUGGGAAAGAAGGUCUUCACAUAACCCCCUACGUUCACCAGAAUAGUUCACUUUUACAUAUUGGAUAUUCUGUUUUUGUCUAAAGAAAAGGGAAGAUAACCUAAAUAUAUUUCUCAUAAUACAUGAGAAUGCCAAAAGCCCUGUUUUCUUUGACUAGAAUUUAAAAAUACUCAACAGGAGCACUGAGGAGUAUCCCUUCUGUACAAUGCCAGUCCUUAACAGAAGCACCUCACCUCCACUGUGUCUGUCCCUACCAAAUUACCAACAUGCUUGGAGCAAACAUUCAGAGAAUAGAAAAUGUUUAAAAAGAAGUUUUUUGAAAUAAAAAGAUGUACUUUUAAUCUUAAUUUCCAAGAUAGACUUUUAAGAGUUGGAAUGUAUCUUAAUGGUCAAAUAUUCAGAUUUUAGCAGUUAGGAUCCCCAAAGCUUACCAGUCUAUUUUCUUGAAAUUUAACUCCUAAAAAGAAGCAGAAAGAGUCACACUCACCUGAAAACUCCUGUUAGAGAAGAACUGGCCUGCAAGAGUGUAUGUGCAUGUACACGCAGAGUGGGGGAAGAUCCUCAAAGUCAAUAUUGUUUUAUUUAUUUAUUUUUUUGAGACAGAGUCGAGAUCCAUUGGCAGUUUGGAGUGCAGUGGUGUAAUCUCGGCUCACUGCAAGCUCUGCCUCCUGGGUUCAAGCAAUUCUCCUGCCUCAGCCUCAAGUACCUGGGACUAUAGGUGCCUGCCACCACACCCAGCUAAUUUUUGGUAUUUUAGUAGAGAUGGAGUUGGCCAGUAUGAUCUCUAACUCCUGACCUCACGAUCUGCCUGCCUCGGCCUCCCAAAGUGCUGGGAUUACAGGAGUGAGCCAUCGCACCCGGUCCAUCAAUAUUGCUUUAAACACUAUGCCAAUCAUUCUUCAUUUCAUCAUACCCAUUCUCAUACCCACAUGAAAAAUAUACAGUUAAUACUACAAAUUAGCUGGGCUGCUCCCCAGUGUGGGCGACAGAGCGAGACUCCAUGUUAAAAAAAAAAAAAAAACCCAGAAAACAAAAACAAAAUAUAUGGUUAAGAAAUCAGUUA